UGCGGAGGGAUCAUUACACAAAUAUGAAGGCGGGCUGGAACCUCUCGGGGUUACAGCCUUGCUGAAUUAUUCACCCUUGUCUUUUGCGUACUUCUUGUUUCCUUGGUGGGUUCGCCCACCACUAGGACAAACAUAAACCUUUUGUAAUUGCAAUCAGCGUCAGUAACAAAUUAAUAAUUACAACUUUCAACAACGGAUCUCUUGGUUCUGGCAUCGAUGAAGAACGCAGCGAAAUGCGAUAAGUAGUGUGAAUUGCAGAAUUCAGUGAAUCAUCGAAUCUUUGAACGCACAUUGCGCCCUUUGGUAUUCCAAAGGGCAUGCCUGUUCGAGCGUCAUUUGUACCCUCAAGCUUUGCUUGGUGUUGGGCGUCUUGUCUCUAGCUUUGCUGGAGACUCGCCUUAAAGUAAUUGGCAGCCGGCCUACUGGUUUCGGAGCGCAGCACAAGUCGCACUCUCUAUCAGCAAAGGUCUAGCAUCCACUAAGCCUUUUUUUCAACUUUUGACCUCGGAUCAGGUAGGGAUACCCGCUGAACUUAAGCAUAU
rnacentral:rRNA from 1 species